CACGUAGGAGGCGAGCGUUGUCCGGAAUCAUUGGGCGUAAAGAGCGCGCAGGCGGCUUGGCAAGUCGGGUGUGAAAUCCCGGGGCUCAACCCCCGUGACUGCAUCCGAUACUGUCAGGCUAGAGGUAGGUAGGGGAGAUCGGAAUUCCUGGUGUAGCGGUGAAAUGCGCAGAUAUCAGGAGGAACACCGGUGGCGAAGGCGGAUCUCUGGGCCUUACCUGACGCUCAGGCGCGAAAGCUAGGGGAGCGAACAGG
rnacentral:rRNA from 1 species